rnacentral:rRNA from 1 species
CCCGGUUGCUAUAGUGGAGGGGCCACGCCCGUUCCCAUUCCGAACACGGAAGCUAAGCCCUCCAACGCCGAUGGUACUGCAGGGUUUCCCCUGUGGGAGAGUAGGACGCUGCCGGGG